rnacentral:rRNA from 1 species
CCUACGGGGGGCUGCAGUCGAGGAUCUUCCGCAAUGGGCGAAAGCCUGACGGAGCGACACCGCGUACAGGAUGAAGGCCUUCGGGUUGUAAACUGUUGUCACGCUAUAGGAAAACCUUGGUGUUAAUAGCGCCAAGGCUGACUAAAGCGAGAGGAAGCAACGGCUAACUCUGUGCCAGCAGCCGCGGUAAGACAGAGGUUGCAAACGUUGUUCGGAAUCACUGGGCAUAAAGCGCACGUAGGCGGUCUGUUAAGUCAGGUGUGAAAGCCCCCGGCUCAACCGGGGAACAGCAUUUGAUACUGACAGACUCGAGGAUGGUAGGGGUGAGUGGAACUCCAGGUGGAGCGGUGAAAUGCGUAGAUAUCUGGAGGAACACCGGUGGCGAAAGCGGCUCACUGGACCAUAACUGACGCUGAGGUGCGAAAGCUAGGGUAGCAAACGGGAUUAGAUACCCCUGUAGUC